AGGGCGCACGGAGGAUGCCUUGGCACUAGGAGUCGAAGAAGGACGCGACAAACGGCGAAACGCCUCGGGGAGCUGUAAGUGAGCAUUGAUCCGGGGGUAUCCGAAUGGGGAAACCCGCUAGUGGUUAUACGCUAGCACCAUAUGGUGAAUACAUAGCCAUAUAGGAGACAGACCCAGGGAACUGAAACAUCUAAGUACCUGGAGGAAAAGAAAGAAAAAUCGAUUCCCGUAGUAGCGGCGAGCGAAGUGGGAAGAGCCCAAACCGGAUUUAUCCGGGGUUGUAGGACCUUCAUAAUUGACAAAUCAUGAUAGCCGAAUGGUCUGGGAAGGCCAACCGUAGGGGGUGAGAGUCCCGUAGGUGAAAUUGUGAGAUGCAUGGAAGGAAUCCUGAGUACGGCGGGACACGUGGAAUCCCGUCGGAAUCAACGAGGACCAUCUCGUAAGGCUAAAUACUACCUAGUGACCGAUAGUGAACCAGUACCGUGAGGGAAAGGUGAAAAGAACCCCGGAAGGGGAGUGAAAGAGAACCUGAAACCGUGUGCCUACAAAUAGUCAGAGCCCGUUAAUGGGUGAUGGCGUGCCUUUUGUAGAAUGAACCGGCGAGUUACGAUAUCGUGCGAGGUUAAGCAGAAGAUGCGGAGCCGUAGCGAAAGCGAGUCUGAAUAGGGCGAAGAGUACGAUGUUGUAGACCCGAAACCGUGUGAGCUAGCCAUGAGCAGGCUGAAGGUCAGGUAACACUGACUGGAGGGCCGAACCAGGGCACGUUGAAAAGUGCUUGGAUGACUUGUGGCUAGGGGUGAAAUUCCAAUCGAACACGGAUAUAGCUGGUUCUCUCCGAAAUAGCUUUAGGGCUAGCCUCGAUGUUAAGUCUACUGGAGGUAGAGCACUGAAUGGGUGAUGGCCCCACCUCGGGGUACUGAUCUCAAUCAAACUCCGAAUGCCAGAUAGAUAUAAUCGGGAGUCAGACUGUGGGUGAUAAGGUCCAUGGUCAAAAGGGAAAGAGCCCAGACCGCCAGCUAAGGCCCCCAAGUGUCCGUUAAGUGGAAAAGGAUGUGGAGAUGCACAGACAACUAGGAGGUUGGCUUAGAAGCAGCCAUCCUUUAAAGAGUGCGUAAUAGCUCACUAGUCGAGUGACUCUGCGCCGAAAAUGUACCGGGGCUAAACGGACCGCCGAAGCUGCGGAUUGACUUUAGAGUCAGUGGUAGGAGAGCGUUCUAACAGCGGUGAAGCAGUACCGGAAGGAGCUGUGGAGCGGUUAGAAGUGAGAAUGCCGGUGUGAGUAGCGAAAGAUAGGUGAGAAUCCUAUCCAUCGAAAGCCUAAGGUUUCCAGGGGAAGGCUCGUCCGCCCUGGGUAAGUCGGGACCUAAGGUGAGGCCGAAAGGCGUAGCCGAUGGACAACAGGUUGAUAUUCCUGUACCACUUAUUAAACUGAUGGAGUGACGGAGAAGGCUAAGUUGAGCGUGUGAUUGGAUUCACGUGUAAGCAGUGAGGUGGUCAUGUAGGCAAAUCCGCAUGGCAUAACAUUGAGCUGUGAUGCCGAAGCCGAAUGGCGAAGUCAACUGACGUCACGCUUCCAAGAAAAGCUUCUAGGGUUAAUUUAAUAAGUGCCCGUACCGAUAACCGACACAGGUAGGCGAGGAGAGAAUCCUAAGAUGAGCGAGAGAACUCUUGUUAAGGAACUCGGCAAAAUGACCCCGUAACUUCGGGAGAAGGGGUGCUUGUGAAAGCAAGCCGCAGUGAAUAGGCCCAGGCGACUGUUUAUCAAAAACACAGGUCUCUGCUAAACCGCAAGGUGAUGUAUAGGGGCUGACGCCUGCCCGGUGCUGGAAGGUUAAGAGGAGAGGUUAGCGCAAGCGAAGCUUUGAAUUGAAGCCCCAGUAAACGGCGGCCGUAACUAUAACGGUCCUAAGGUAGCGAAAUUCCUUGUCGGGUAAGUUCCGACCCGCACGAAAGGCGUAACGAUCUGGGCGCUGUCUCAACAAGAGACUCGGUGAAAUCAUAGUACCUGUGAAGAUGCAGGUUACCCGCGACAGGACGGAAAGACCCCGUGGAGCUUUACUGUAGCUUGAUAUUGAGCACUCGGUGGCACAUGUACAGGAUAGGUAGGAGACGAAGAAACCAGGACGCCAGUCUUGGUGGAGUCGCUGUUGGGAUACUACCCUUGUGUCACUGGGGUUCUAACCCGUGGCCCUUAUCGGGUCAGGGAACAGUGUCAGGUGGGCAGUUUGACUGGGGCGGUCGCCUCCCAAAGAGUAAC
rnacentral:rRNA from 1 species